rnacentral:rRNA from 1 species
GACGAACGCUGGCGGCGUGCUUAACACAUGCAAGUCGAGCGGUAAGGUUCCUUCGGGAGUACACGAGCGGCGAACGGGUGAGUAACACGUGAGCAAUCUGCCCUUCACUUCGGGAUAACCCUCGGAAACGAGAGCUAAUACCGAAUACGACCAGUUCAGACAUCUGAUGCUGGUGGAAAGUUCCGGCGGUGAAGGAUGAGCUCGCGGCCUAUCAGCUUGUUGGUGGGGUAACGGCCCACCAAGGCUUCGACGGGUAGCCGGCCUGAGAGGGUGACCGGCCACACUGGGACUGAGACACGGCCCAGACUCCUACGGGAGGCAGCAGUGGGGAAUAUUGGACAAUGGGCGAAAGCCUGAUCCAGCAACGCCGCGUGAGGGAUGACGGCCUUCGGGUUGUAAACCUCUUUCAGCAGGGACGAAGCGCAAGUGACGGUACCUGCAGAAGAAGCACCGGCCAACUACGUGCCAGCCGCCGCAGUAA